UAGAAUUUUGAUUUUGAUGGAUGAUUAUAUAUAUUUCGAAGCCUCACACCGCACUCCUCGACACCUCGAUCUACGCGCAGUGAUACACUACUUAGAGCCCCACUGAUGCUCUUAUAGUCGGUGGCAGGGGCGUCCUGAGUGAUGAUGUCAGCAGGUGCCCCACCAUGCACCAAGAUCUCUCUUUUCUCUUCAUUGAAUUAAAUAAACUUGUAUGGCUAGAGAGAACUAACUGUUGGCUGCAGCAUUGCGUUCUGCUCUGAAGGCCAGAAUGUCUGCUUCAAGCUCCUGAGGAUCAUCAUAAUCCUUAUCCAGGCUGAGGAGAUAUUCCUGCAUGCGUUGCACUUGAUAGCUGCAAGCAUAAAAAGUUUUAUCAUCAAAGCUACUAUUAAAUAUCUUUUAAGAUAAGACAAGCUAUGACUUUUACUUUGUCAGUACCUAACAUCUUGUAAGGAAAAAAUAAACAAUGUAGGGUACUCACAAA